UUGGCAAAAAUGAAAGUAGGGUAGAGAUUAGAGGGAGGCAGGACCUUUUUCGGGACGUCGGGAUCGGGUGUUUUAAGCUCGGGAUUUGAGGAUUGAUCCUUACGGGAUCCGGGAAUACAGUUUAAAUUUUGGGAUACGAAUUUCUUUAAAUUCUGCAUCUCGGGAUUUCAUAUUUUUAUGCCCGGGAUUUCGGGAUCAGGACCCCUCCGACCACACCUCAAAUAAGCCUGAGUUGGUCUUAGUCAUUUAUACAAAAUUCAUAUCCUACCAUUGGCGUGUCAAUAAG
rnacentral:lncRNA from 1 species